rnacentral:lncRNA from 1 species
AGAUUAGGAUUCUUAAGUUUAGACAUAUGAUUUCUAGUAUGUUGAUUAAUUGAGAUGGUGAAUUGUGGAAAAGGUCAGUAUUAGACCUAUAUAGAAGAGUUUGAUAGUGAAUGAUUGAAUUGAGAAUGGUGAAAAUGCAGAGUUCAGAGUAUUCUGACUAUACUGCAUAUUUGAAAUUGGAUUAUUGUAUUGAUUUGAGGAUGAUAUAAAUGCAUGGUUCAUAGUAUGUUGACCAUGUCAGAUAUUUGGAAGAUGUAUAUUGUUUUGAGUGAAGAUAUGAAGAGUAAGUGUAGAGUAUGAGUUGUAUUGGAUUAGAAGGAGAGAUUGGUAGAUAGAGGUUGAUAGGUGAGAAGUGAAUGAUAGAGAGUACGUGGAGUUGAGUCCAGCUAUUAGAG